ensembl:snoRNA
GCACCCAGAUCUUUCCCAUUCCUGCUGCUUUGUGCUGGCCUGGGGACAGUGGGUGCUACAACAUGAGCAGAGGAUAUCCAGACAGGUUGUUUUCCAUUUGUCUUGGGACCUGUCUCUACAACUCUGCCACAUUU